rnacentral:rRNA from 1 species
AACGAACGCUGGCGGCAUGCCUAACACAUGCAAGUCGAACGAGACCUUCGGGUCUAGUGGCGCUCGGGUGCGUAACGCGUGGGAAGUUGCCCUUAGGUUACGUAUCACUCCCCGAAAGGGGUGCUAAUACCGGUUAAUGUAUUCGGACCAAAGAUUUCUGGCCGUUGGAUGGGCCCGCGUUGGUUUAGCCAGUUGGUAGGGUAAAAGCGUACCAAGGCGACGUUGCAUAGCUGGUCGGAUAGGAUGACCAGCUACACUGGGACUGAGACACGGCCCAGAAUCGUACGGAGGGCAGCAGUAUGGAAUAUUGUACAAUGGGCGAAAGCCUAAUCCAGCAGUGCCGCGUGAGUGAUGAAGGCCUUAGGGUUGUAAAGCUCUUUUACCCGAGAUGAUAAUGACAGUACCGGGAGAAUAAGCUCCGGCUAACUCCGUG